rnacentral:rRNA from 1 species
GACGAACGCUGGCGGCGUGCUUAACACAUGCAAGUCGAGCGGAAAGGCCACUUCGGUGGUACUCGAGCGGCGAACGGGUGAGUAACACGUGAGUAAUCUGCCCUUGGCUUUGGGAUAGCCACCGGAAACGGUGAUUAAUACCGGAGAUGACCACUCUAGGCAUCUAGUGGUGGUGGAAAGUUUUUCGGCCAGGGAUGUGCUCGCGGCCUAUCAGCUUGAUGGUGAGGUAAUGGCUCACCAUGGCUUCGACGGGUAGCCGGCCUGAGAGGGUGACCGGUCACACUGGGACUGAGACACGGCCCAGACUCCUACGGGAGGCAGCAGUGGGGAAUAUUGGACAAUGGGCGGAAGCCUGAUCCAGCAACGCCGCGUGAGGGAUGACGGCCUUCGGGUUGUAAACCUCUUUCGGUAGGGACGAAGCGUGAGUGACGGUACCUACUAAAGAAGCACCGGCCAACUACGUGCCAGCAGCCGCCGUAAAAC